CUUGUUUACAAAUGAAGAAAUUGAGGCUCACAUGAGUUUGGUAUCUUGUUCAAAGUCUCAAAGCAGAAUGCCUUGGAACAGGACAUACCAGGAAUGCAAAGAAAGUCUCCUUUUGAGGGGUAGAAGCAGGUGAGUAGAGGAACUUAUAAUAGAAGAAAGACUAAACCAGGUUGUCCUCCUGGCAUUCCAGCAAUGAAACUACCUUUGACAGGAAUAAUACCUGCUUUUUACUGAGACUUGAUUGAUCAUUGUCUGUGCAUUACCAUGACUUUAUGAUUUCAAUUAACCUGAAUAAAACCUUUUAAAACCA